ensembl:lincRNA
GGGGAAAUAAAUUUUGACUUCCAAGAUUUGCCAUAAAGGGCUGGGCAAAACAAAACAAUUGAGCUAUUCAAUGGCUUUCUGGAAGCUGUGAGGCUUUGCAGAGAAUAAGUUCCCAUGGGUUUAAUUACCAAUGGAUAUAAACUCUGGGUCUUGUUCCUGUUUUAUAAGCCGUGUAAAGCCUGUAUGGUGAGAGAGUGAGCUGAAAUUUCUGUGCUGUGUAGUUCCAGUAGAUAUGCAAAUUCAUUCAUUACUCACAAAGAGGGGAGAAGAAUUAGAUGUAUGGCCACAUUCUGUUGCUGCCAGAGCUACAGGUUGUGGAAAACAUGCAAAUUGGGAUCUGGCCUGGACAUCUGACCUACAAGCAACUGAAAUCCAGGUCGGGCAGUCCUGUGUGGAUGAAAGCUAUUGAGGAUUUAGUCACCCCUUAAUUGUUAGACAAAGAAGUAUCCCAAUUCAGUACAACGGCAUAUGAAAAACCAGAUUUCAAAGUUUUGGAGGAGGUCAAAAGUGAAUCAUCAGAUUACUCAUGUAUGGAUGAUGAAAAUGAUCCAGCAUGGUAAAAAAGAUGUUUUCAUAACGUAAGAGUGAUGAUGAUGAUGAUGACGAAGACUCCAACUUCACAUUGGCCAUGUGAGCCAAAUUCUGGUGACAGCACAAUGGAGCAAAAAUCGACUGAUACAGACACAGGGAUUGCAGACCUCCUUGAUUCAGAUGACAGAGAAAAUAACCAUACCAGGCUGUGUGGCUGUUGGGCAGAGGACAAGGACACCGAUCUGGUACUCGAAGGUCAGCCUCUGGGCCCAGAGCGAGGCCUAGAAGCCUGCGGAGAACAGCUGCAGGUACAAACCACAGCAUCCACAGAUCCUAAGCCAGCUCCUCGGUGUCUCAGGCUUGCGACAGACUCAUUUCCCCCUCAGCUGCGCAGUGUGCUGGUCCCACUCCUGGCCUCCUCACUGACCACUCACUACUACCCUUGGUCCUCCAGCUCACAGACACUCCUGACUCUGUUCCAUCCAUGUGGCUUCUGGUCCUCCACUCCACUGCCUCCCAAGUCAUGAGCCAUCCCUGCCCCCACUCCCUCUCCCCAUCCCUUCUCGUCCAGCUUAGAGUGCACUGAAUCAAAAAUGCCCUCCUUUCAAUUGAGAUAGUGAGAGUGGAACCCUCCCUCUGAGUGACCAUCAGUCAGGUGGGCACAUAUUUGUAGGUUAUUCACGUAUAUUUUAACCUGGUUACAUUUUUUUUUUAAAUGCCAUUGAGCAGAAAAAAAAACAAAAAACAAUUUGCAAAUGGAUGUAGACACUAUAGCACUGCUGAUACUGAUUGUCAAGUUUCUCUCUUUGAAGCAGAGGGGCCUCCUUUUUUUUCCCCCAAACAAAAUCUUCCCUGGUUCUCUAGUGGACACAGCAAGUAAGAGUGGCGCUUUUCCCACUGCAGCGGUACAGAGGCCUGGAGCCCACCGGCUGCUCCCCCUGGCUGCCCUUGAGCAAGCUCCCCGGAACGGGAGGGCUCCCAUGAGGUGACAGAUGAGAGCCACAGUGCCACACCGAGGCCCCCAUAGGGAACCAGUGCAAAGGGUGUCAGCAAAGCUGGUGAUUGGAUUGCACCAUCUUGCCAAACCCAGCCACCGUUCACAAUUUCGGGACAAUGCUUUGCUUGCUAAGAAAAUGCAAAUACCCCUAUACAUGCAUCUGAGAGCAUUUAAGAACUAAGAAUCACAGUGAACAGAAUUACAAGAGGCCUGUUUGCCUCUCCCCGCUUUCUGCAGGAGCCCAACUAAUGGGCCCCCCUGGGGAAACCUGCAGCCUGGCCACACUCACUCCUCCACCUCAUGAUUGAUUUAUUAAUCUCCCCAGGACUUGGGUUCCCAUCACGCCCUUUAUUAUUUUCACUAUCUUAUGCUUAUACACUAAUCAAUAGUCAUCUUGAAGUCAAGGAAGAAAGUUUAGUGUCUCCAAAUCUUUUGCGCUGCCAGCCAUGUCGGACUGUAUUAAAACAAACAAACAAAUAAAUAAAAACUGUUAAUAUUCCACACUGAACAAGGUCGUUAAUUGAAAAAAAUCUCAUUUAUAAAACCUCAGCCCCUGCCAAGUUACGGAGCAGCUGUUCCAUUCUGGUGCCUCUGGUGCGUUUCUGCGGGAAACCACUGAUUCCUCAGCUCCAAUCCAGCCGUCAAUGGUCACAGCCAGAGCAGAGCUGUCAGACUCCUAUCUAACUAGGGCUGUCUCCUUGCAUUUGUAAAAUGUGCAAUAUGUCUUGAGCAGAAAGCUUGAUGACUAGAGAAAAGGAUGAAAGAACGCUCCUAUUUAUGCAGGCAGAGCCCACCCUAAGAAUACAACUUCAAACCCUGGGGGGAGUCUGAGUGUGGGACCCAGCUCCUGAGGACAAGAUGGGGUUAUGGGGAAGAUAGAUUCCCCCCACUACCACCUUGAAAUGAUUCCAGGAUCACCAUGGUUAAGAGAUCACCGACUCAAGUGGGAAAGCCCGCCCACACCAAGGUGGAGACUAAGUUCCCAAGUAGCCCAAGGUGUAUUUGUGGACUUAAAACCUGGUGCAUUUACUCUGGAGAUGAAACACUCAUCGGGAAGAAACAGAAGUCUCAAUUUAGUAAUAAGUAGGCAGGACCUCUGGGUAAAGCUGAAAGCUGGCCCUGGGGAAGGAAGGAAACCAGGAGGCCUAUGAGAGUGAUGGGCAGCCCACUUACAGGUGGGGAAACGAAGCCUCACGGUCAAUGGCAGAUUGGCGGGAGAACAGAGAUCCAGACAAAGGCCCGUAAAGUCCCAACUGCAUCCUCUUCUAGUCUGACACUUGGUUACUGAGAACGCCGAAGUUAUAGAACGACGAUUUUCUUAUCAAUGUACUAAAGAACUCUCAAGGGUCAGAGAAAGAGGUUGCUAAACACUAGGAUCUGCCCAGGAAGGGAGCAGAUUCCUAGAGGGAAAACAGGAUGCAAGUAAGUAAAUACCCAAGUAGCUUCUGCACUUGAUCUUAGCCAAAAGGCUGAGAAGUGAUCCCAAGUAGCUUCUGAAAGCUCUGGAGGUACACCAAGGACAGCAGAAACGCUGAAGGACGGAGCAGACGUGCGUUUGUCUCCCACCGAGUCUGCCCUCUGCUUUGCUUCAAGGUUGUGCCUUUAGUCAACAGCAGGCCAUUUGUCACAGGAGCUUGCUGUGUGUUUUCUAACUGUCCCUCUCAGCUGUGCCAAGGUUGGCCAUUCCCCCCUCAGCUUCGAGAUGCCUCUCUCACACCACACAGGGAGUCAUGUUGCAGCCAGAGGUUGCCACUUCCUGUCCUCUCCCAUCCCUGCCCAGUAGGCAAGCCUCUCCUGGGGCCUGGGGCAGCUGGAGAGCCCUGGUGGAGAAAAAUGGAGCUGGGAAUCCCGGGGUGGGGGUGGGGACAGUGGGAAUUAGAUGAAGAACGAACAGGAAGUCACUGGGGGCAGAGAGCAUUUGGAGACUGAGGACCCUGGAUGAAGCCUGUUUCCUUUAAUAGUCAGAGAGUCCUCGGCAGCAGGCAGCUCUCCAGAUGUCAAUUUUAGCUCCUCCAAAGGGCUGGGGUUGAAAGGCUUAGCACCGAAAUAAAUACGCCGGAGGCUUAUCUUUUCUUCUUUUCAUCGCAAGUAUACAUUUUCUCACAACGUCACUAGAUUUUUUAAUACGUAUAAUUUUUAGAAAGCUUAAAAUAUUUAAAAAUCAUGAAGUAAUAGAAAAGAAUAAACAACGGAAACUAAAGAACACUGGCUUUGUUCUGUUUAUAUGUCUCACUGUCUCCUCCAGUUCUUGGCCCAACUCUUUAUAGAUCAUCACUAUGAGCAGUUUCCGGUCCCACCCCAUGACCCAUGUGCUUCCGGCUGACCUGUGUGCCUGAAGAUACACACACACACACAGACACACACACACACACACACACACACACACACAUGCACCUGGAGUUUCACCACCUGCCCCUGACCCUGGCUUCCGCCCGUGACCCGCCUGGCCUCCAGUCACAGUGAGAGACAGUUAGACUGCAUUUCUCCAGUCCUGCCUGACCCUGAGGAUUGUUUUUACAUGGCUACUCACUCUUUGGUUCCUCCUCUGUAAAUUGCCUGUUCUUGUCUUUUGUCCAAAUUUCUACUGAGUUGUCUUUUUCACUGAGAUUUUAUAAGAACUCUUGUAACAUUUCUUUUACUUUGAUAACCUGUCAGAGUACUCUUUCCUUUUCAUGCUAUCACAUUUCCUUCCUUCCUUCCUUCUUCUUCGCUGUUUUCUUUUCUUCCUUUCUUUUCUGGCUUCUUCACUGUGUAUCUUAAUCUAUCCGUAUCUACACACAUAACGUUCACCAAUGUCAAUAUUGGUUAUUUCUGGGCAGGGAGGACUGGGGACCUUGCGGCUCAUCUCUUUGCAGGGCUUAGUUUUUUAAACACUAAAGAGCAUGCAUCACUUUUAUAAAAGGUAAUCGUUAUUCAAAAAGAAACAAUAUCC